GGGCUUGUAGCUCAGUUGGUUAGAGCGCACCCCUGAUAAGGGUGAGGUCGAAGGUUCGAGUCCUUCCUGGCCCAUCG
rnacentral:tRNA from 1 species